rnacentral:rRNA from 1 species
UGAACGCUGGCGGCAGGCUUAACACAUGCAAGUCGAGCGGGGAAAGGUAGCUUGCUACUGGACCUAGCGGCGGACGGGUGAGUAAUGCUUAGGAAUCUGCCUAUUAGUGGGGGACAACAUUCCGAAAGGAAUGCUAAUACCGCAUACGUCCUACGGGAGAAAGCAGGGGACCUUCGGGCCUUGCGCUAAUAGAUGAGCCUAAGUCGGAUUAGCUAGUUGGUGGGGUAAAGGCCUACCAAGGCGACGAUCUGUAGCGGGUCUGAGAGGAUGAUCCGCCACACUGGGACUGAGACACGGCCCAGACUCCUACGGGAGGCAGCAGUGGGGAAUAUUGGACAAUGGGGGGAACCCUGAUCCAGCCAUGCCGCGUGUGUGAAGAAGGCCUUAUGGUUGUAAAGCACUUUAAGCGAGGAGGAGGCUACUAGUAUUAAUACUACUGGAUAGUGGACGUUACUCGCAGAAUAAGCACCGGCUAACUCUGUGCCAGCAGCCGCGGUAAUACAGAGGGUGCGAGCGUUAAUCGGAUUUACUGGGCGUAAAGCGUGCGUAGGCGGCCAUUUAAGUCAAAUGUGAAAUCCCCGAGCUUAACUUGGGAAUUGCAUUCGAUACUGGAUGGCUAGAGUAUGGGAGAGGAUGGUAGAAUUCCAGGUGUAGCGGUGAAAUGCGUAGAGAUCUGGAGGAAUACCGAUGGCGAAGGCAGCCAUCUGGCCUAAUACUGACGCUGAGGUACGAAAGCC